AAUUACUUCCAUAGCAUUGGCA
rnacentral:miRNA from 1 species